GACGAACGCUGGCGGCGUGCCUAAUACAUGCAAGUCGAACGCUGAAGGAGGAGCUUGCUUCUCUGGAUGAGUUGCGAACGGGUGAGUAACGCGUAGGUAACCUGCCUUGUAGCGGGGGAUAACUAUUGGAAACGAUAGCUAAUACCGCAUAAUAGUAGAUGUUGCAUGACAUUUGCUUAAAAGGUGCAAUUGCAUCACUACCAGAUGGACCUGCGUUGUAUUAGCUAGUUGGUGGGGUAACGGCUCACCAAGGCGACGAUACAUAGCCGACCUGAGAGGGGGAGCGGCCACACUGGGACUGAGACACGGCCCAGACUCCUAGGGGAGGGAGCAGUAGGGAAUCUUCGGCAAUGGACGGAAGUCUGACCGAGAAACGCCGCGGGAGUGAAGAAGGGUUUCGGAUCGUAAAGCUCUGUUGUAAGAGAAGAACGAGUGUGAGAGUGGAAAGUUCACACUGUGACGGUAGCUUACCAGAAAGGGACGGCUAACUACGUG
rnacentral:rRNA from 1 species